AUUCCGGUUAUUUAAUGGAGUAAGAUUGCCAAGUCCAAUGCUAACUCAAGAAAAUCAAAUCAGCACACAGGUUCCUCCAAAAACAAAUAUUUGUUUAUUUUUGUUCUUCUGUAGCAUGAGUGAGAAAUACAUGAGAGCUACAAGGACUUGGCAGCAUCUCGUCAACGUCAGACUUACUGCUUGGCUGGAAAAACUCUUGGUUUUCCUGCAGUUUCUAAGGGAGGCUUCAGAAUUUUUGUUUCCAGCAAGAGGCUGGACUAUUAAUUCAGGUGCUUUAGUGAACACGGUGUGACAAUAUCAUUACACAUUAUGAGCCUAACUCUGCUUUCAUUGCAAACAACACUGAGCAAUGGGAUUUUACAUGGAGGACGGAAUUUUUUUCUCCAUCAUGGAGGCAGGGUGCAGGGCCCUUCUGCAUAAUGUUUAUUUGCAGUCUAUUGUUUAGCCACUAGAUGUCUGUGCGUUAUACUGAGAUCCAGACAGAGCAAGUCCCUGGUACACAAAGGCACACUGAGCUGGAACUUGAACUAUGAACACAACGUAUUGUGAAAGCCUGUUUGGUUUGUGUCCACCUUAGCUGUUUGCUUUAAACACCUACAACAGGAAGGGCUAUGAUUCCAUGACACUGUACUCUUAUAUACUGCAUUGAUUGGCACCAUAUAAGUAGACAGACCCAUACUAUAGCCUACGGGCAGGCGAUUCAGCCGUGGCCUUUUGCAUUCACACACCUCCAUAGGGUUUUGUUUGCAAUGCUGUGCAGAGAUCUGCCACAAAGUAGAAUACUCCUAUGAUGUUUAACACCUGCCCCAACUCCAAGGGAAAGGUGUGUCUAUGUAUUUUAAGCCAGGUGUGCCUGUGGUGGGUGAGGGCUGGGCUUGGCUCUGAGUUUAAAGGCCAAUUAAAUCCGUUACAUCGCUGAUAGAGACCAGAGAGACUGAAGGCAACAGAGCAAAUCAGGGCUCUGAAGCUUUUAUUAGCUGAUCAGAAAUACAGGCUCAUCAGUAUAACAGUUAACAUCAGCAGUGUAUAGGCAACUGGAACCCAAGAAUGUAAAACCACUGGGUUUUCACAGUGAUAAAUCAAAAUGUAUAAAACAUUCCAGUUAUUGUCUCCUCGAAUGAUUGUUUCAGCAAGGCCCAGAUUGCAAAAGCAGAAGACUUCACUUUUGAGAUUUGCUCAUUAUCAGAAAACUUGUUCACAGACAGAAUGCUCCUGUCCCCCCACAAAGGAAAACAAAAGCUAAACAAAAAGCCCCCUUCCCUCCCCUAUUUCCAAAUGGUUCUCAAAGGCUCUUCCUCAAUCCA